rnacentral:rRNA from 1 species
GACGAACGCUGGCGGCGUGCUUAACACAUGCAAGUCGAACGGGUCUGCCCUGUUUUUUGCGGGGUGGGUCAGUGGCGAACGGGUGAGUAACACGUGAGUAACCUGCCCCUCACUUCUGGAUAACCGCUUGAAAGGGUGGCUAAUACGGGGUGUUCUGGCUGUGCCGCAUGGUGUGGCUGGGAAAGAUUCACUUUUGUGGUGUUUUGGUGGGGGAUGGGCUCGCGGCCUAUCAGGUUGUUGGUGGGGUGAUGGCCUGCCAAGGCUUUGACGGGUAGCCGGCCUGGGAGGGUGGGCGGUCACACUGGGACUGAGAUACGGCCCAGACUCCUGCGGGAGGCAGCAGUGGGGGGUAUUGCACAAUGGGCGGAAGCCUGAUGCAGCGACGUCGCGUGAGGGAUGGAGGCCUUCGGGUUGUGAACCUCUUUCGCCGGUGAAGAAGGUCCUGCUCUUUGUGGUGGGGUUGACGGUAGCCGGGUUAUGAAGCGCCGGCUAACUACGUG